GACGAACGCUGGCGGCGGGCUUAACACAUGCAAGUCGAACGGAAAGGCCCUGCUUGUUUGGGGUUCUCGAGGGGCAAACGGGUGAGUAACACGUGAGUAACCUGCCCUGGACUUUGUGAUAACUGCAGGAAACUGGGGCUAAUACCGGAGAGGAGCGCCUGCUGCAUGGUGGGGGUUGGAAAGUUUCGGCGGUUGGGGCUGGACUCGCGGCUUAUCAGCUGGUUGGUCGGGUAGUGGCUUACCAAGGGUUUGACGGGUCGCCGGCAUGAGAGCGUGACCGCACACCUUGCGCCUGCGAUACGCAGCAGUCUCCUACGGGAGGCAGUAGUGGGGAAUCUUGUCCAAUGGGGGGAAGCGUGAUGAAGAAACGUUGCGUGUGGGAUGCCCGCCUUCGGGUUGUAAACCGCUUUAGCUUGUGACGAAGCGUGAGUGACGGUAAUGGGUAAAGAAGCACCGGCUAACUACGUG
rnacentral:rRNA from 1 species